GGGGGCGGGACUCGGGAGGCUGCGCGCGGCGGCGCCGCCCCGCGCUGGGCAGGGGAAGGACCCGGCUGCUGGCGAGUCCGCGGGGAGCCGCGCUGCGCCCGCGGGAGCCCGGCCCGGCCCUGCUUCCUCCUGGCGCGCAGCCCCCAGCCCGGGCUCUGGUCAUGGCCAGAGACCUUCGCUUCGGGGCCGCGUCCGUCAGGCUGGAGAUCGCUGCCUCGCAGUGACGAGUGUGCGGCGUGAAGCGGUGUGUGUGCGCGGUAACCAGCGGGGCCGCCUGUUGCCUGGCCCUGCCUCGUUCACUGGGAACCCCCGGCUGGUCUCGUACCUAGACGUACAGUUCUAGCUCACACCCGUCUUCCUGCCACAGAGCGGCCACUUGCCCAGCUGAUAGUUCAUUUGCUGUUGUUGACACCUGGCCGAGAGUGAAGAGAGAAGGAUGUCGUGCCCUGGGCUCUGGAUGUACAUGAAGAGGGGAAGGUGCAGACAUACUUGGCUUCUUGCAGGCAGUUAAAACGGUACUGAGCCCGCUGAAGUCUCAGGAUCCCAACCCCCGAACCUGGGUUAAACUGUUUAAUUUUGGACAGUGACCAGGCCACGUUAACGUGACUCUUUGCAUCCACACGUUUCAUCUACAUUAUACAACAGAUUUCUAUACAAAUGAUAACCUGAGCGAUGAGCUGUCUGACAGUGACCCCCAGUCCAGAAAGGAGGGAAGCAGCAAGGCAUAAAGUGUUUUCUGGCUACUACGUUCCCUACAGUACAGAGAGUUCUAUCAAACUGCCUGCUGCUUGGGGAUCAUGUAAUGAAAUAAAAAUACAGUACCAACAAUUAA